rnacentral:rRNA from 1 species
GACGAACGCUGGCGGCGUGCUUAACACAUGCCAGUCGAACGGAAAGGCCCUGCUUUUGUGGGGUGCUCGAGUGGCGAACGGGUGAGUAACACGUGAGUAACCUGCCCUUGACUUUGGGAUAACUUCAGGAAACUGGGGCUAAUACCGGAUAGGAGAUCCUGCUGCAUGGUGGGGGUUGGAAAGUUUCGGCGGUUGGGGAUGGACGCGCGGCUUAUCAGCUUGUUGGUGGGGUAGUGGCUUACCAAGGCUUUGACGGGUAGCCGGCCUGAGAGGGUGACCGGCCACAAUGGGACUGAGAUACGGAGCAGACUCCUACGGGAGGCAGCAGUGGGGAAUAUUGCACAAUGGGCGGAAGCCUGAUGCAGCAACGCCGCGUGCGGGAUGACGGCCUUCGGGUUGUAAACCGCUUUCGCCUGUGACGAAGCGUGAGUGACGGUAAUGGGUAAAGAAGCACCGGCUAACUACGUG